rfam:Ictidomys tridecemlineatus contig016417, whole genome shotgun sequence.
GGGGUUGUGGCUCAGUGGUAAGAGCACUUGCUAAGCAUGUGUAAAGUAUGAGGUUCAAUCCUCAGCUCCA